rnacentral:rRNA from 1 species
GCAAGUCGAACGAGAUCUUCGGGUCUAGUGGCGCACGGGUGCGUAACGCGUGGGAAUCUGCCCUUUGGUUCGGAAUAACAGUUGGAAACGACAGCUAAUACCGGAUGAUGACGGAAGUCCAAAGAUUUAUCGCCAGAGGAUGAGCCCGCGUAGGAUUAGCUAGUUGGUGUGGUAAAGGCGCACCAAGGCGACGAUCCUUAGCUGGUCUGAGAGGAUGAUCAGCCACACUGGGACUGAGACACGGCCCAGACUCCUACGGGAGGCAGCAGUGGGGAAUAUUGGACAAUGGGCGAAAGCCUGAUCCAGCAAUGCCGCGUGAGUGAUGAAGGCCUUAGGGUUGUAAAGCUCUUUUACCCGGGAUGAUAAUGACAGUACCGGGAGAAUAAGCUCCGGCUAACUCCGUGCCAGCAGCCGCGGUAAUACGGAGGGAGCUAGCGUUGUUCGGAAUUACUGGGCGUAAAGCGCACGUAGGCGGCUUUGUAAGUUAGAGGUGAAAGCCUGGAGCUCAACUCCAGAACUGCCUUUAAGACUGCAUCGCUUGAAUCCAGGAGAGGUGAGUGGAAUUCCGAGUGUAGAGGUGAAAUUCGUAGAUAUUCGGAAGAACACCAGUGGCGAAGGCGGCUCACUGGA